rnacentral:tRNA from 1 species
GGCGGCGUAGCUCAGUCGGUUAGAGCGACGGUCUCAUAAUCCGUAGGUCAGUGGUUCGAGUCCACUCGCCGCCACCA